GGAUUGUGGCUCAGUGGUAGAGUGCUCACCUCACAUUCAUGAGGCACUGGGUUUGAUCCUCAGCACCA
rnacentral:tRNA from 1 species